CUAAGCUCUUUUUGCUCUAGUCUAGCGUAGCCUCUAGUGGCCUUGUUUCUCGAAGUUUUGGGUUCUUAGUCAAGUUACUACUUUCCUGAGUUGCAGUAAGUAUUAUGAAGUCUCUAUUAGGUCGAAUGACCUGCUGAAUCCUUGUUUGCUUGAUCACUGGAUCUCGUUGUGCUGUAAAACAUGGCGGCCUAUAGUUCUAACUUUAAACACCUUUUCUCCAAUCUGGGGCAGAGUUAGGUAUGAAUAUGAAACCAAUGAAGAUAAAUUAUCUGUUGUUUCUUGUACUGACUCUUUUCAGAAGAAAUAUAGAUUUUUAUGAAGUUUUUUAUAAUUAUUGAUUUUGCCACCAUUUUGGUUGCUAAGC